AGGACGAACGCUGGCGGCGUGCUUAACACAUGCAAGUCGAGCGGAAAGGCCCUUCGGGGUACUCGAGCGGCGAACGGGUGAGUAACACGUGAGUAAUCUGCCCCUAGCUCUGGGAUAGCUCCGGGAAACCGGGAUUAAUACCGGAUACGACCACUUUAGACAUCUGUUGUGGUGGAAAGAAUUUUGGCUAGGGAUGAGCUCGCGGCCUAUCAGCUUGUUGGUGAGGUAACGGCUCACCAAGGCUACGAUGGGUAGCUGGUCUGAGAGGACGAUCAGCCACACUGGGACUGAGACACGGCCCAGACUCCUACGGGAGGCAGCAGUGGGGAAUCUUGCGCAAUGCGCGAAAGCGUGACGCAGCAACGCCGCGUGGGGAAGACGGCCUUCGGGUUGUAAACCCCUUUCAGUUGGGACGAAGCUUCGCCGGUGAAUAGCCGGUUGAAGUGACGGUACUUCAGAGAAGCCCCGGCUAACUACGUGCCAGCAGCCGC
rnacentral:rRNA from 1 species